UAUAGCUCAGUGGUAGAGCGCAUGCUUAGCAUGCACGAGGUCCUGGGUUCAAUCCCUAGUA
rnacentral:tRNA from 1 species